rnacentral:rRNA from 1 species
GACGUAGGAGGCGAGCGUUGUCCGGAUUUACUGGGCGUAAAGCGCGCGCAGGCGGUCGCGCAGGUCAUCUGUGAAAGCCCCCGGCUCAACCGGGCGGAUGCGGGUGAAACCGCGCGACUGGAGGGUGGGAGAGGUCGGCGGAAUUCCCGGUGUAGUGGUGAAAUGCGUAGAUAUCUGGAGGAACACCGGUGGCGAAGGCGGCAUCCUGGACCAACACUGACACUGAGGAGCGAAAGCCAGGGGAGCAAACGGG